GAUGAACGCUGGCGGCGUGCCUAAUACAUGCAAGUCGAGCGAAUGGAUUAAGAGCUUGCUCUUAUGAAGUUAGCGGCGGACGGGUGAGUAACACGUGGGUAACCUGCCCAUAAGACUGGGAUAACUCCGGGAAACCGGGGCUAAUACCGGAUAAUAUUUUGAAUUGCAUGGUUCAAAAUUGAAAGGCGGCUUCGGCUGUCACUUAUGGAUGGAACCGCGUCGCAUUAGCUAGUUGGUGAGGUAACGGCUCACCAAGGCAACGAUGCGUAGCCGACCUGAGAGGGUGAUCGGCCACACUGGGACUGAGACACGGCCCAGACUCCUACGGGAGGCAGCAGUAGGGAAUCUUCCGCAAUGGACGAAAGUCUGACGGAGCAACGCCGCGUGAGUGAUGAAGGCUUUCGGGUCGUAAAACUCUGUUGUUAGGGAAGAACAGGUGCUAGUUGAAUAAGCUGGCACCUUGACGGUACCUAACCAGAAAGCCACGGCUAACUACGUGCCAGCCGCCGCCGUAA
rnacentral:rRNA from 1 species